rnacentral:rRNA from 1 species
UUCCGGUUGAUCCUGCCGGAGGCCAUUGCUAUCGGAGUUCGAUUUAGCCAUGCUAGUCGCACGGGUUUAGACCCGUGGCGAAAAGCUCAGUAACACGUGGCCAAACUACCCUAUGGAUCAGAAUAACCUCGGGAAACUGAGGACAAUUCUGAAUACCGCUCCUGCACUGGGAUGUGCGGAGCUCGAAACGCUACGGCGCCAUAGGAUGUGGCUGCGGCCGAUUAGGUUGACGGUGGGGUAACGGCCCACCGUGCCCAUAAUCGGUACGGGUUGUGAGAGCAAGAGCCCGGAGACGGUAUCUGAGACAAGAUACCGGGCCCUACGGGGCGCAGCAGGCGCGAAACCUUUACACUGCACGACAGUGCGAUAAGGGAACUCCGAGUGCGAGGGCAUAGAGCCCUCGCUUUUGUACACCGUAAGGUGGUGCACGAAUAAGGGCUGGGCAAGACCGGUGCCAGCCGCCGCGGUAAUACCGGCAGCCCAAGUGAUGGCCGAUAUUAUUGGGCCUAAAGCGUCCGUAGCUGGCCGGACAAGUCCGUUGGGAAAUCCGCGCGCUCAACGCGCGGGCGUCCAGCGGAAACUGUCCGGCUUGGGGCCGGAAGACCUGAGGGGUACGUCCGGGGUAGGAGUGAAAUCCUGUAAUCUCGGACGGACCGCCUGUGGCGAAAGCGCCUCAGGAAGACGGACCCGACAGUGAGGGACGAAAGCCAGGGUCUCGAACCGGAUUAGAUACCCGGGUAGUCCUGGCUGUAAACGAUGUCCGCUAGGUGUGACGCAGGCUACGGGCCUGCGCUGUGCCGUAGGGAAGCCGUGAAGCGGACCGCCUGGGAAGUACGUCUGCAAGGAUGAAACUUAAAGGAAUUGGCGGGGGAGCACUACAACCGGAGGAGCCUGCGGUUUAAUUGGAUUCAACGCCGGG